rnacentral:rRNA from 1 species
UACGUAGGGUGCAAGCGUUAAUCGGAAUUACUGGGCGUAAAGCGUGCGCAGGCGGUUUUGUGAAGUCUGUCGUGAAAUCCCCGGGCUCAACCUGGGAAUUGCGAUGGAGACUGCAAGGCUAGAAUCUGGCAGAGGGGGGUAGAAUUCCACGUGUAGCAGUGAAAUGCGUAGAGAUGUGGAGGAACACCGAUGGCGCAAGGCAGCCCCCUGGGUCAGAUUGACGCUCAUGCA